AUUGAACGCUGGCGGCAUGCUUUACACAUGCAAGUCGAACGGUAACAGGCCUUCGGGCGCUGACGAGUGGCGAACGGGUGAGUAAUGCAUCGGAACGUGCCCAGUCGUGGGGGAUAACGCAGCGAAAGCUGUGCUAAUACCGCAUACGAUCUAUGGAUGAAAGCGGGGGACCGUAAGGCCUCGCGCGAUUGGAGGGGCCGAUGCCAGAUUAGGUAGUUGGUGGGGGAAAGGCUCACCAAGCCAACGAUCUGUAGCUGGUCGGAGAGGAGGACCGGCCCCACUGGAACGGGGACACGGUCCAGACUCCUACGGGAGGCAGCAGUGGGGAAUUUUGGACAAUGGGCGCAAGCCUGAUCCAGCAAUGCCGCGUGCAGGAAGAAGGCCUUCGGGUUGUAAACUGCUUUUGUACGGAACGAAACGGCGGGCUCUAAUACAGUUUGCUAAUGACGGUACCGUAAGAAUAAGCACCGGCUAACUACGUGCCAGCCGCCGCCGUAACAC
rnacentral:rRNA from 1 species